rnacentral:rRNA from 1 species
GAUUCCUACGGGAGGCAGCAGUGGGGAAUAUUGGACAAUGGGCCACAAGCCUGAUCCAGCAAUUCUGUGUGCACGAUGAAGGUUUUCGGAUCGUAAAGUGCUUUCAGCAGGGAAGAAAAAAAUGACGGUACCUGCAGAAGAAGCGACGGCUAAAUACGUGCCAGCAGCCGCGGUAAUAAA